rnacentral:rRNA from 1 species
ACGUGGAUAACCUACCUAUAAGACUGGGAUAACUUCGGGAAACCGGAGCUAAUACCGGAUAAUAUAUUGAACCGCAUGGUUCAAUAGUGAAAGACGGUUUUGCUGUCACUUAUAGAUGGAUCCGCGCCGCAUUAGCUAGUUGGUAAGGUAACGGCUUACCAAGGCAACGAUGCGUAGCCGACCUGAGAGGGUGAUCGGCCACACUGGAACUGAGACACGGUCCAGACUCCUACGGGAGGCAGCAGUAGGGAAUCUUCCGCAAUGGGCGAAAGCCUGACGGAGCAACGCCGCGUGAGUGAUGAAGGUCUUCGGAUCGUAAAACUCUGUUAUUAGGGAAGAACAAAUGUGUAAGUAACUAUGCACGUCUUGACGGUACCUAAUCAGAAAGCCACGGCUAACUACGUGCCAGCAGCCGCGGUAAUACGUAGGUGGCAAGCGUUAUCCGGAAUUAUUGGGCGUAAAGCGCGCGUAGGCGGUUUUUUAAGUCUGAUGUGAAAGCCCACGGCUCAACCGUGGAGGGUCAUUGGAAACUGGAAAACUUGAGUGCAGAAGAGGAAAGUGGAAUUCCAUGUGUAGCGGUGAAAUGCGCAGAGAUAUGGAGGAACACCAGUGGCGAAGGCGACUUUCUGGUCUGUAACUGACGCUGAUGUGCGAAAGCGUGGGGAUCAAACAGGAUUAGAUACCCUGGUAGUCCACGCCGUAAACGAUGAGUGCUAAGUGUUAGGGGGUUUCCGCCCCUUAGUGCUGCAGCUAACGCAUUAAGCA